rnacentral:sRNA from 1 species
AAUCUUUAGAGGAGGCCUUUGUCGAGAG